CUUUUACGCCCUGAAGACCAUUGGAGUGAUCAAUGCAGACGUAAAGUUAGACAACAUCAUGCUGGUGGACAGUAAAGCGCAGCCACUCAGGGUGAAGCUCAUCGACUUCGGACUGGCUGUUCCGUCCUGUAGUGUGACGCAGGGCAAACGUCACCAAACAAUAUACUACAGGGCUCCAGAAAUUAUCUUGGUGUUGUGAUGGCGAUCAUGGUGCUCGGUGAAACGCUCUUCCCAGGCUGCAGUAAUACGAUACGACCAUCAUCACCGACAGCUCAAGUACCCCGGCUUCCUUCAGUCUCAUCGCCAGAUUGUUUCGUCAGCUCAGUGAUUCCUGUGCCAUGUCGCCGCCCAGCCGCCGCCACUCACACCGCCUCACCUUCCUACCUGCAUGUUCCACGGCUCCACAAACAACUAAAUAAAACCUUUUAUUUCACCUACCCUGUCGUCCCGGUGUCUGCGGAUGGGUCCAGAAUAACCGACCGUAACAGUUCUGACUCCUCAUGAUGAAAUGUGGUGACGAUAUCUGUGACAUCAAGAAUUUAUGAUCAUUAGCAUGUGAUGCAUUUCAUUUAAAUUGUUCCUUUGGUGAUCAUUAACAUGUAACGGAACUUAUAGUAGCUUUGUGCCGUCGGAGUUUAAAAGUUGGUGAGACUAUUUCCUCCUCAUGUCGGCCAUAUCGGAUUUUUUUUAAACCACAAAUAGCGGAUGAGUUCCUAUAGUCAGGUGUCUGUUGAACUGCUUGUGUCGUAAUUCCACAGCUCCAGUACCAGCAGUGGAUUUCACUCAACCUCAGAUGCAUUACUUCCAGGUGUUAUCUUGGUGCAGCCUGCACCAGCUGAAUGCUGCCGGGGGUGGAAUGAGGACAGCGAGUGAAUAUUGGUGAGAUGAUUUUCUCUGGACAUGUGAGUCAUCGGAAAAUGCCAACUAGGAAGUCCGAUAUUAACUGUGUGUGUCUUAGUUCAUCGGAUCGGCAGGACGACCUCUCCCCCAAAGGGGCUAAAUGUGACCCCCUCCCAUUUUAACAGUGGGCUGUAACAUGGAACAGGAACACAAAGAAUGCCCUUCCACCACAUGUGGUAAAUGCUUGCCUCCAUGCGUGUCUGAAUUGUUGAGUUCUUUCACAUUGUGCUGGAAUCUUCUGAAAUUUCCACUUAAAGUGGGACCAGGCAGCAGCAGCUCAUUGAGGUUGUCUCCCUUAUACGCAAAAGAGCAAUUGAAAACAAUCCCGUACCCUCCGUUUCCACACCGUUGCUGUCAGCAGCGAUCAGGUGAGGCUGCUCCCUGAGGACAAGCCUUUGCUUCUUGUGGCGCGACCUGAAGAAAGAGGAACCUCCAAGCAUCUACACAUGGCAAGUCCUUCCGUUUGGCACCACCUGCAGCCCCUGCUGUGCAACUUUCUCGCUGCAGAAACAUGUGUUUGACCACAGUCAGCCAGAUGAGGAUGUCCGUAUUUCCAUAGACAGGUUCUUUUUAUGUGGACAACAUCCUGCAGAGUCUCCCAUCUGUUGAAGAAGCCCGUCACCUGGUAGAAAAAACUGACGACAUUGCUGGCUACAGGUGGAUUUGAACUAUGCCAUUGGGCCAAUAACACCCCUGGUCAUCAGUUGCCUGCCCAGAGAAGCCAGAUCCGAAAACAGUGAGUUGUGGCUCAACGAGUCAGGCACAGACCCACAAGAGCUCGCCCUGUGGCUCCGCUGGCUUUGCAAUUCAGACAUCUUGAGGUAUAAAUAUCGGAUGCUGGAUAGACCCAAACCCACCAUGAAGAAUAUAUACCGGGUCUUGGCACGCCUUUGCGACCUAUUGGGCUUUAUUGUCCCCUUCACGAUGCGGGCUAAGAUCCUUGUGCAGCACUUAUGGGGAAAGCAAAGAGAUUGAGACGACCCAUCACUGCCUGAUGAUGUGCUGAAGCCAUGGCUGAUGUGGGAGGAGUUGCAGCAUCUGUCUCAGAUUUUACUGCUUCGCUGCUUUUUUGGGCCCUGAGAUGGACACUUCAAACCUCCAGCGAGACCUGAACAUCUUUGCUGAUCAUUCAGAGAAAGCUUACGGCUCAGUAGCCUCCCUGCAUGCAGAGAACUCACAUGGCCGUGUGGAAGUGUCUUUCCUAACUGCCAAAUUUAGGGUGGCUCCAAAGAAACAGGAAUCCGUGCCGAGGCUAACGUCUGGGCCUGGAGGUACAUGCACUCUGUCAACAGCUCAGCUGAUGACAUCACGCGAGGGAAGACACUGUUUGAACUGUCUGGUAAAAGUAGGUCAUGGAGCGGCAGCAGAUCAAGACAGUCUUCCUGCAGAAGAUUUCCCUGAGGAGUUCCUCUUGUGUGCCCUAGGCUGCUCUCCCUAGCCCCGGACUAUGAUGAGGCUGUGGGUCUCAUCCAGGUUAGAGGAAGGCUCCGCCGCAGCGACCAGCUAGAGCCAGAUGCCAUCCACCCAGUGGUGCUGAACAUAAAGUGACCCAGCUCAUCAUUCAGGGCUUAGACAAGGGCCUCCAUCCUUCAGGAUCAGAGCGUCUCUUUGCAGAGCUGCGCCGCAAAUACUGGAUUCUGCAUGGCCGUGAAGCUGUGAAACUCCAUCAGCACUCCUGACCGGACUGCCAGAGGUGAAGCGCCAUUCCAGUUGUGCCCAGGACGGCAGACCUCUCCCAGUCCAGACUGAGGCUGCUGAAGCCCUUAUUUUACUCCACAGGCACAGAUUAUUUGGGCCCUUCACAGUGAGGGUCGGCCGUUGCCACGGGAAGAGAUGGGGCAUACUGUUGAAGUGCCUGACAACACGGGCCAUGCACCUAGAUGUUUUGUCUAGCCUGGACACCGGCUCCUUUUUGAUGGCUCUACGCCGCUUUAUUGCAUGAAGAAGCUGAUCAGAAAACAAAUUUCAAAGGAGAGAGAGAGAACUCGAGGAGGCAUUCAAAACCAGUGGCGGCUGGUCAAUAGAGGGCGCUAGGGCGGUGCCUCCCCUUGAGCCACAAAGAAUAAAUUGUCAAUAUUUGUUUUUGAAAUAUGGAAUGCACACAGUAAUAUGUGUAAAAUAUAAUAUCUGUGCAAGAUAUAUGCUUUUUCCAUAUUUUCUUAGUUGUCCUCAGUCUGGUUUGCUUAACUUGGUCAUGGAGGCAUCAACAUUUCAUUGAGACCUGUAAAUUAACAGUGAAAACUCAUAGCUUAAUUCAACACCAUUAUUCCUAAUUACACUUCAUGUUUACGUCUCCUGAUCUUUACUUCCCUAUUGGUUUCCGAACAAACAAGGUCAAUUUAUCUCAAUAAAUAAACAUGUUCUGUUAUACUAUAUUAUAUACUAUAUGUGUGUUUUAUAUUAUACUGAAUUGCCUGUGAGGGUGUUUAUGUGAAUGUUCGGAGUUCACUUUUUCUUUGUUCUCUGCACAUGUAAGCAAAGUUCAAAUCUGUGUAAGAUUGCCAAUAUUUAUGGAUGAAUAAAGUACAGAAAAUGACGUUUGCUAGUUCAUUCAUGCCAUUCAUCCUAAUGAAGGAAAGGGAGAUUCUGCUUAGAAAUGUAUACACUUUACAGCUUAUUCAGCAAGAUGUCUUUCAUCUUGCAUGUUUGUUACUUACAAAGCAAUGUUUGUACAAAGAUUUAGAAAUCAUGCCUCAGUUACACUCUUAUUUCUGAUUUGUAUUUAUUCAUAUCAGGCAUCUACUAUACAUCUAUGCUGACAUGUAAAGUUGCAUUGUAGACUUGUAUGGUAUAAUGACUUGUUACUUUAUAUAGAGGUUUUACUAAUUAUUUAAUGUAUAUCUGUUUCAGAACCACACACUCACUUGGUUACUUGGUACUGUCAAUAAACCUCUCAAAAGGAACAUCUUAUCUGGAGUGCAUUCUGAUAGAUGCCCCCUGGUGGCCACAACUUUUAAUGAACCAGUAAAAUGAUACAGUCUCUCCCAGUCAAUCUAACAACCACUGCCCUCCACACACCACUGCCCUCCACACACCACUGCCCUCUAUUCCAAACAAUGUGUCAAUCAGGUUUCAUGACCGCUAAAUUAGACACGGGAAACACCAACAUAUUUUCCUGUAUACCUUUUUAGCAAGGAAAGGUUGUUGUAAAAACAACAUUUUAUCAUAUACAAUAACAAAUCAUAUCGAAAUUGCAUGGUAUAAUCUCUGAACUGCCAAAAAAAGUUACCGUUUUCUGAAGCUGUACGAUUAGCAUUAUUGGUAAAAACAGAAGUAAAAAAGACAUUUCUAUAAAAUCAGUUGAGAAACACAAAAUGCUGAUUUGAGAUUAAAUGAUGUACAGUAAGUGAAUAAAUUACAUGUAUCAGCUGCAAAAACAAAUAAAAAGAAAAAAAACAUUUCACGAGGCUUUGAAUUUUAUAUAUUUGAAAACAGCAGCGUCAUCAGCAUUUCACUAACAAGGACCGCACCAAUAACAGUGUAAGUUUCGAGAGUUUUU